AUUGAACGCUGGCGGCAGGCUUAACACAUGCAAGUCGAGCGGAGAUGAGGUGCUUGCACCUUAUCUUAGCGGCGGACGGGCGAGUAAUGCUUAGGAAUCUGCCUAUUAGUGGGGGACAACACUCCGAAAGGAAUGCUAAUACCGCAUACGUCCUACGGGAGAAAGCAGGGGAUCUUCGGACCUUGCGCUAAUAGAUGAGCCUAAGUCGGAUUAGCUAGUUGGUGGGGUAAAGGCCUACCAAGGCGACGAGCUGUAGCGGGUCUGAGAGGAUGAUCCGCCACACUGGGACUGAGACACGGCCCAGACUCCUACGGGAGGCAGCAGUGGGGAAUAUUGGACAAUGGGGGGAACCCUGAUCCAGCCAUGCCGCGUGUGUGAAGAAGGCCUUAUGGUUGUAAAGCACUUUAAGCGAGGAGGAGGCUACUGAGACUAAUACUCUUGGAUAGUGGACGUUACUCGCAGAAUAAGCACCGGCUAACUCUGUGCCAGCCGCCGCGGUAAAAC
rnacentral:rRNA from 1 species